CUGCAAUCUCCUGGGUGACGCGGACACCGUUAGACAGUUGAAUGUGCAUGCGGACUCCAUCUGUUUCCCUGCCAACCCCCUUGUCUGCAUGGCCCCGGGCACUGGCAACUCAUGCUACACCACUGGGCCCAACAGACAAUGUUAAACACAAGGCGUCCCAACAAGCUUGAAGGUCAGUGAGAUAUAAGUUUGUGCCCAUCUACUAAAGCCCUAUGCGGCCACAUCUCCUAGGGCCCUCAUACUUACGGGACCACCUCUCCUGGUAUGUCCCGCAGAGGACCUUAAGAUCCAUGAACAAUAAUAGCUUAAAAGUCCCGGGCCCUAAGGAAGCCAGACUAUCCUCCACUAGGGCCAGGGCUUUUUCAGUGACGGCUCCGAACUGGUGGAAUGCUCUGUACCACGAGACUAGGGCCCUGCAAGUCUUGAUCUCCUUCUGCAGGGCAUGUAAGACAGAGCUAUUCCGCCUGGCCUUCAAUUUGAAUAUUCUGAUCCUCUAUUCCCUUUUCCCUUUCCUCUUCUAUGAAGAAACCCUUUCUGGGACCCCACAUUUAAAUUCUUAUUCACACACCUCCUUGCUGGCCCUAGUAGUACCAACUUGGCCUGUUAGCCUGGUGAUUAUUCGAUGUCUACUGACUGGGUCCCCCCCCCCCAAAAAAAAUGACCUCUGAAUUUUUGAAUGUUAUGGAUAUUGAUGCUGCAUUUUAUGUUGUAUUAUAUGAUGUUUUAUGCUGUUUUCAAGUCGCAUUUUAAUCAAUGUUUUAAAUUUGCUGUUAGCUGCCCUGAGCCCGUUUUUUAAACUGGGAAGGGCGGUGUAUAAAUAAAAAUUUAUUAUAUUAUUAUUACAAAAUCUCAGUAGAUUUACUGAAAUACAUGUUGAGCUGCUAUGAUUAAAUGGGCACAAGAUGUUGGACAUAAUAUUAUGUUCGCUGACUGGGAACAGUUAUGGACCACAGGUAUGAAGUUUACGGCAUGUAAUGCCUUAAGAGAGAAUAUUAUGAAAAUGAUAUACAGGUGGUACAUGACCCCAGUCAAGCUUGCAAAAAUCUAUCAUUUGCCCGAUAAUAAAUGUUGGAAAUGUAAAGAAACAGAAGGUACAUUCUUUCACCUUUGGUGGGCGUGCCCAAAGAUUAAGGCUUUCUGGGAAAUGAUAUAUAAUGAACUGAAAAAGGUAUUUAAAUAUACCUUUCUGAAGAAACCAGAGGCCUUUCUCUUGGGCAUUGUCGGCCAACUGGUGCCAAAGAAGGAUAGAACCUUUUCAUGUAUGCUACAACAGCAGCAAGAAUACUCAUCGCAAAGUAUUGGAAGACACAAGAUCUACCCACUUUGGAAGAAUGGCAGAUGAAGGUGAUUGACUACAUGGAACUGGCGGAAAUGACUGGCAGAAUCCGAGACCAGAGAGAAGAGUUGGUGAAAGAAGACUGGAAGAAAUUUAAGGACUAUUUACAGAAAUAUUGCAAAAUUAAGGAACUUUAGAAGGAUGUUGGAUAGAAACUAAGAGGUUUUUAGCUGUAAUGCUUUAGGAGAUAUGGAAAAAUAGGUUAAUAAUUGGGUAAAGAUUAAUGGUAAGGAUUUGCUGAACCAACAAAUUGAACUGGAAUACAAAGAAGGGAGGUAUGAGGAGGUCCGGGAAAUAAGAGUAAGGAAGAUAGGUUAUGGAACAUUAUUGUGUUUUUAACUGUCUUAUUUUGUAUGUUUUGUGGGUUUUUUUUAUUUUCUACUUUUUGGUUGUAUCUUUAAAAACUUUAUUCUUUUUCUUUCUGUAUUCUGUAUUUUCAUGUAUUUUUGUGAAACUUUAAUAAAUAUCAUUAUAAGAAAAAAAAAGAAAUACAUGUUGAGCUACUGAUUAUCUGGAAAAUACCUUUGAAAAUGAGUCAUAGCUACUGGUAUUUGGCCUUACAUUUUUAUUUAUUUUUAAAUCCACAAAAAAAUCAGAGUGAACUCUGCCCAAAGUCGCUCCUUCAGCUGGUUGACUCAGUGGAGUCAAAGCAGAGGCAAAAUCAGGUUGGCAGUUGUGUUCGACAUGCACUGCAAUCAACAGGGGAAUCGGCUCUGUUCCCUCUGCCAAAGGAUUUUAUAUUGUCUGCAGGAGUCAUUCCUAAACUUUUUGCAACGGUG